rnacentral:rRNA from 1 species
AGCCUUGUACACACCGCCCGUCAAGUCAUGGGAGUUGGGAGUACCCGAAGUCCGCUUAGCCAACCGCAAGGGGGCGGCGGCCGACGGUAAGCCCGAUGACUGGGACU